rnacentral:rRNA from 1 species
UACGGAGGGAGCUAGCGUUGUUCGGAAUUACUGGGCGUAAAGGGUGCGUAGGAGGGUAGGUAAGUCAGUGGUGAAAUCUUCGAGCUUAACUCGGAAACUGCCGUUGAUACUAUCUAUCUUGAAUACCGUGGAGGUGAGCGGAAUAUGUCAUGUAGCGGUGAAAUGCUUAGAUAUGACAUAGAACACCAAUUGCGAAGGCAGCUCGCUACACGAAUAUUGACUCUGAGGCACGAAAGCGUGGGGAUCAAACAGG